rnacentral:tRNA from 1 species
GUGGGGGUAUUUCAGUUGGUCUAGAAUCAUAGAUUGCAAAUCUAUUUGUCGUGGGUUCAAAUCCCACUCUUCACU